rnacentral:rRNA from 1 species
GAAAACCAGGCUAAUACCGCAUACGACCCCUGGUUUAAUCACUGGGGGUGAAAGCGGGGGACCUUCGGGCCUCGCACUAUUGGAUGAGCCUAUGUCUGAUUAGCUAGUUGGUAGGGUAAAAGCCUACCAAGGCGACGAUCAGUAGCUGGUUUGAGAGAAUGAUCAGCCACACUGGGACUGAGACACGGCCCAGACUCCUACGGGAGGCAGCAGUGGGGAAUAUUGGACAAUGGGCGCAAGCCUGAUCCAGCAAUGCCGCGUGUGUGAAGAAGGCCUGAGGGUUGUAAAGCACUUUCAAUUGUGAAGAAAAGUUUAAGGUUAAUAACCUUAGACCCUGACGUUAACUAUAGAAGAAGGACCGGCUAACUCCGUGCCAGCAGCCGCGGUAAUACGGAGGGUCCGAGCGUUAAUCGGAAUUUACUGGGCGUAAAGAGUACGUANGUGGCUAGAUUAGUCGGAUGUUGAAAGCCCUGGGCUCAACCUGGGAACUGCAUUCGAUACUGUCUGGCU